rnacentral:rRNA from 1 species
ACGGAGUCGCAAGAUUCAGUGGCGGAAGGGUUAGUAAUACAUGGGUAACCUGCCUCUAACACUGGGAUAACGGUUGGAAACGAUCGCUAAUACCGGAUAGGGUGAGCUAAAGGCAUCUUUGGCUUAUUAAAGUGGGGGACCGCAAGGCCUCGCAGUUAGAGAAGGGCCCAUGGGAUAUCAGCUAGUUGGUGCGGUAAAGGCGCACCAAGG